GCCAUACGAUCGAGAGAGUCCCAGGGAUUCAGUCUCGAAUUUGGGCAGCAUGACAGCACUGCCGGCCUGAGAUAGAGACUCCGCACUGCACGGCGGGACACCUGGACGUCAGAGACAGGCGUUCGCACAAACACCCCCCGAAAGACUGUCCCGAGCGACUUCUAUCGUCCUAUUUCUUACUUUAUGCUUCUCUUUCACUUCCAAUUAUCAGAUAAUGCUCCAGCGAUAAAGCCAGAUUAAGACUUUUUUCUAAACGACAGGCUUUCAUAGCCUAUGUGUCACGCUGCUUUGACUUAGCUACACUGAUUUAAAAAAAUUAAAACGCAUUUACGCAAAAAAGAAAGGAAAAAUCUCAGAAAUAACGCAGAAGAAAACGGAGUGAUUCCUUCUACACUAAGUAAGAAGCACUUUCGCGAAGAGUGUGGGAAUCACUCUGCACUUAAGAAAACAGCACAAGGUCCGGAUUAGAAUGCGAUGGUAAGUUUCCCUUUAUCUUUUCCAAAGUCUUUAAAGCGCGUCAGCCAUUAAUGUGAGACUGUCAGUGUAACUUUCAGCCUUGAGCAGACAAGCACGAGCCGCCGGGGCCGCCCUCUCCUGUGCGUAAAGUCGGAUUCGGUGAGUCGGUCGGACUGUCUGGAGAUGUGGAGACCUCUCCUCCUCCUCCUCGCGGCUUUGUUUACUCCGCUCUCUCCAAUCCGAGACGCAUGCGGUCGUCUGACAUCAUCUUCCUCCGAUCCAAUCAGGAAAGGAGACCGGGAAACAUCGCCUCAAACUCUCCAGUUCCAUCUCUCCAAAAAUCUCAUCUAUUUAAUCCCGUUAAUGACGGACUUUAAAAGCGGAGGGAGAACAAGGAAAUCAAGAGAAGUGAUGCAACUGUAGUGAGAUCCCCGACUGCGUCUGGGCGCACAGAAUGCAAAUACAAAGCGCAAGGUCAGCUGCUGUUACCUGCUGGUCCCCAGUUCUUUGGAUGAAGGCAGUCAAUGGAGGAAACAGAGUGUGUCAACAGCAAGUGUUGACAUUUGGCUUAGGAGAUAAACCUCACAGGGGAUCAAACAAAGACAGGCUCUUUUGACUGGAGAAAGGAGUGUGUGUGAGUGUGUGUGCGUGCACAUGUUUGUGUAAAGAUGUUUCAAUGUUGCAAGAUUUCUGCUGACGUCCUGAAGUCGAAGGACGCUGAUAAUUGUCUGAGGGCUUUGGUUAUCUCCAUGUCAAAAGGCUGAGUGAACUUAAAAGUGAGAUGAGGUGCACAACACACAUGCAAAGAUGUUUUAAUUAUUCAUAGCUUUACAAAAAAAUAAAAAAUAUGAAAGAUAUAAAUAUAAAAAAGUAAAGAGAAUAUUUUCUGACACAACUGGCAUCUAUGUGCUCAAAUACAAAGUCCCACAGAAACACACGCUGUAACAAGUGAAAGAAUUUUUGACUCUUUCACCGCAGAAUGAGAAAAAUGUAAAGAUCAUAGAAAGGUUCAUUUCUAAAUGACACUUAAAAGGAGGUAGAAUCUUCCAGUGGUUGAAUAAAGAAUGGGCAGCGUUAUUUCUCCCCUACAGAAAAGCUGCCGUGUCAAUAAACAUGUCCAGAGACCAGCAUUAGUACAGAUACAUAUCAAUAUGCUCGUUGCUACAGGGAAUGCAGUGUUACAGGUUAUUCACAUGAUUCCAGGAUGUCUUUCAAAUUUCAUCUAAAAAGUGCGUCACAGAUCAUUCAUUCAUGCCUCUAUAUUUCUGAUUUCAACCCUGUUUAAAUCAGCCUGUAGGUCUAAAUACUCAAAACCAAAAACGUUUGUCUUUUUCCUGCUGAAAAAAAGAAGAAGCAGGGGCUCUGACUAAGGAGCUUGGCUCUUCUUACACAAUAUAUAAUGUUUUUAAUGUGAUGGGAGUUUAUUUUUCACACAUGCCCUGUCUGGAGAUGCUAACAAAAUAGGCAACUGAUGUUAGGUUGCACUAUAGACCGAGGGAGGUCAUGAAAACACAGUAAUCCAAACCCAGUCGUUGUUUAUUGGUUUUGAAUUGGCCUUAGAGCUUCAACAAUUUCUGAUGGUCGUUUAGACAUAGCUGUGGUCUGUGGGCAUACAUUCAAAACUAGUGGUAACGCUGGCCAUACCCUACCUUCAAUGGUUGCACAAAUAUAUAGGCAUUUUUCUAUUAUGUUCACAUGGGAAAUAAGAAUUUAGUCCACUGGGUCUCAGUUCCUCUGAGUGCAUGAAUAGCCAUAUGCCCACUCUUGCAGCCAGCAAAAGAAAACUGGCCAUGCUUUUCUCUUAGUGGAGCUUUAUAAAGUUAGCUCAAGCAGCAGCAA